rnacentral:rRNA from 1 species
UACGUAGGGGGCAAGCGUUGUCCGGAAUUAUUGGGCGUAAAGAGCGUGUAGGCGGCCAGAUAAGUCCGCUGUGAAAUCUCGAGGCUCAACUUCGAGCUGUCGGUGGAAACUAUCUGGCUAGAGUCCGGAAGAGGCGAGUGGAAUUCCUGGUGUAGCGGUGAAAUGCGCAGAUAUCAGGAGGAACACCAAUGGCGAAGGCAGCUCGCUGGGACGGUACUGACGCUGAGACGCGAAGCGUG